AAUGAACGCUGGCGGCGUGCCUAACACAUGCAAGUCGAGCGAGAAAGUCCCCUUCGGGGGGCGAGUAAAGCGGCGCACGGGUGAGUAACGCGUGGGUAACCUGCCCUUGAGUGGGGGAUAACCAGCCGAAAGGCUGACUAAUCCCGCAUACGACCGGCAGACACAAGUCUGUCGGGGAAAGAUGGCCUCUGCUUGCAAGCUAUCGCUCUUGGAUGGGCCCGCGUUGGAUUAGCUAGUUGGUGGGGUAACGGCCUACCAAGGCGACGAUCUGUAGCGGGUCUGAGAGGAUGAUCCGCCACACUGGAACUGAGACACGGUCCAGACUCCUACGGGAGGCAGCAGUGGGGAAUUUUGGACAAUGGGGGCAACCCUGAUCCAGCCAUGCCGCGUGAGUGAAGAGGCCUUCGGUUGUAAGACUCUUUCGGCCGGGAAGAAAUCGUAUGGGCUAAUACCCUGUGCGGAUGACGGUACGGCAUAAGAAGCACCGGCUAACUACGU
rnacentral:rRNA from 1 species